rnacentral:rRNA from 1 species
GACGAACGCUGGCGGCGUGCCUAAUACAUGCAAGUCGGGCGGACUUUCAAGAAGCUUGCUUUUUGAAAGUUAGCGGCGGACGGGUGAGUAACACGUGGGCAACCUGCCUGCAAGACGGGGAUAACUCCGGGAAACCGGGGCUAAUACCGGAUAAUAUCUUCCUUCGCAUGAAGGAAGGUUGAAAGGCGGCGCAAGCUGCCGCUUGCAGAUGGGCCCGCGGCGCAUUAGCUAGUUGGUGAGGUAACGGCUCACCAAGGCGACGAUGCGUAGCCGACCUGAGAGGGUGAUCGGCCACACUGGGACUGAGACACGGCCCAGACUCCUACGGGAGGCAGCAGUAGGGAAUCUUCCGCAAUGGACGAAAGUCUGACGGAGCAACGCCGCGUGAGCGAAGAAGGUCUUCGGAUCGUAAAGCUCUGUUGUCAGGGAAGAACAAGUACCGUUCGAACAGGGCGGUACCUUGACGGUACCUGACCAGAAAGCCACGGCUAACUACGUG